AUGUCACAUCCAUGUACACAAGUGGAGCGGUGACAAGGGUGAGGUAUCAACCGGAGAAAAAGAAAGCAGCAGAGGAAGGCAUCUGAGAAAACUAAAGUUUGCAUCCCAGGACACAUCAACUUCAGGGAGUGAAUAAAACAGAAAAAUACUGAGAAAAGCUGAUCAGUCAAACGCUGACCUAAUCUGAGUCAAAGCCAUAAAUGCCUAUUUGAAGAGUUUGAGCAUUCUUCAUCUCCUGAUUGAAGACAAAUAUCAUGGGAUUAGCAAUCGAACUAGUCAAAUCCCUGCUUUGCCACUUGGCACCUGUAUGAACUUUAACAAGUCACUUUCUUCUCGAAGUCUCAGUUUCCAGAGCUGUGAAGUGGGACCAAUCAAAACUAUCUCACAACUAGAAAUAACUCACUAAUCAAGUUCCAAAAUGCAGCAAGUGCUCAACUCCGGUGAGCUGCUAUCACUGGGACUCAAGGUACUGUGAAGUUUAGAAGUCUAAAAGAGCCCAGUCAUGAGUUCCUCGUAACAAGCUCAUAACUGAAGCCGGUGGAGCAGAUCCCAGAUGUGUCCAAAGCCUGUGGAAAUUUACAUUAUGGAGCAAACGCUUCCACUUUCUGAAGAUCAAUAUUAACCCAGGGAUUUCUUUUUUUUUUUCCCCCCACACCAACAUUAGGCUCUGCUCAGCAUUCCCAGAGGGGAGCAGUACUUAGAUAAUUCAUCUUUAAUCAUCUGCACUGCACAAGAAAAGCUUUUUCUUAUCAAAAGAUGGAAUAGCAGAAAUGAGGGCGGGAAGAGGAAGGGAAGGGAGUUUUGCUGGCUUUGAACCUGAGCCAUGGCCUGCACUCAGGGAGAAAAGAGUAACCUCCUGGUUUUCACACGGGGUGGGGCUGGGGGUAGGGGUGCGCCCACCCUUGACCAAAUGAGCUGUGUUUCUUCCCUUUAUUCACCCAUCCAUUUAUUCAUCUCCUAACACUUACUGACUGCCCUUCACCAGGCUUGCAGUUGGUCACCAGGAACAGUGUUAAAUGAGACCCAACUUUUACCCUAAUUAGCUCAUCAUCCAAAACAGGCAUCCAUGAACUGUUCUAAUAAAAAGGUCAGAGAGCAAACUGUU